rnacentral:SRP_RNA from 1 species
GCUGGAUGCAGUAGCAUGUGCCUGCAGUCCCAGCUACUCGGGAGGCUGAGGCUGGAGGAUCACUUGAGUCCAGGAGUUCUGGGCUGCAGUGCACUAUGCCGAUCGGGUGUCCGCACUAAGUUCGGCAUCAAUAUUGAUGACCUCCCGGGAUGUGGGGACCAUCAGGUUGCCUAAGGAGGGCUGAACUGGCCCAGGUUGGAAACAGAGCAGGUCAAACUCCUGUGCUGAUUAGUAGCGGGAUCGCGCCUGUGAACAGCCACUGCACUCCAGCCUGCAACAUAGUGAGACUCUGUCUCU